rnacentral:rRNA from 1 species
GAUGAACGCUAGCGGCAGGCUUAAUACAUGCAAGUCGAACGGUAGAAGUCUCUUCGGAGGCUUUGAGAGUGGCGCACGGGUGCGUAACGCGUAUGCAACCUGCCUUCAGUUGGGGGAUAGCCCGGGGAAACCCGGAUUAAUACCGCAUAAUACAGGGGCCCCGCAUGGGGAUAUUUGUUAAAGAUUUAUCGACUGAAGAUGGGCAUGCGUCUGAUUAGCUAGUUGGUGAGGUAAUGGCUCACCAAGGCGACGAUCAGUAGGGGAUCUGAGAGGAUGGCCCCCCACACUGGUACUGAGAUACGGACCAGACUCCUACGGGAGGCAGCAGUAAGGAAUAUUGGACAAUGGGCGGAAGCCUGAUCCAGCCAUGCCGCGUGCAGGAAGACGGCCCUAUGGGUUGUAAACUGCUUUUGUAAGGGAAUAAUAAGGCGAACGAGUUUCGCUGAUGAAGGUACCUUACGAAUAAGCAUCGGCUAACUCCGUGCCAGCAGCCGCGGUAAUACGGAGGAUGCAAGCGUUAUCCGGAUUUAUUGGGUUUAAAGGGUGCGUAGGCGGCCUUUUAAGUCAGGGAUGAAAUGUUGCGGCUUAACCGCAGAAUUGCCUUUGAUACUGGGAGGCUUGAAUGAAGUUGAGGUAGGCGGAAUGUGGCAAGUAGCGGUGAAAUGCAUAGAGAUGCCACAGAACACCGAUUGCGGAGGCAGCUUUACUAAGCUUUGAUUUGACGCUGAGGCACGAAAGCGUGGGGAUCAAACAGGGAUUAGAUACCCUGGUAGUCCACGCAGUAAACGAUGAGAACUAGCUGUUGGCGAUAGAAUGUCAGCGGCACAGCGAGAGCGUUAAGUUCUCCACCUGGGGAGUACGACCGCAAGGUUGAAACUCAAAGGAAUUGACGGGGGCCCGCACAAGCGGAGGAGCAUGUGGUUUAAUUCGAUGAUACGCGAGGAACCUUACCUGGGCUUGAAAGUGAGUGACCGGCGCUGAAAGGCGCCUUCCCUUCGGGGCACAAAACUAGGUGCUGCAUGGCUGUCGUCAGCUCGUGCCGUGAGGUGUUGGGUUAAGUCCCGCAACGAGCGCAACCCCUAUCAUCAGUUGCCAUCAGGUAAAGCUGGGGACUCUGGUGAGACUGCCUGCGCAAGUAGUGAGGAAGGCGGGGACGACGUCAAGUCAUCAUGGCCCUUACGUCCAGGGCUACACACGUGCUACAAUGGCAGCUACAGAGGGCCGCGACCGUGCAAACGGGAGCUAAUCUCAAAAAGGUUGUCACAGUUCGGAUUGAGGUCUGCAACUCGACCUCAUGAAGUUGGAUUCGCUAGUAAUCGCGUAUCAGCAAUGACGCGGUGAAUACGUUCCCGGGCCUUGUACACACCGC